CAGCCGCCGCGGUAAAACAGAGGGUGCGAGCGUUAAUCGGAUUUACUGGGCGUAAAGCGUGCGUAGGCGGCUUCUUAAGUCGGAUGUGAAAUCCCUGAGCUUAACUUAGGAAUUGCAUUCGAUACUGGGAAGCUAGAGUAUGGGAGAGGAUGGUAGAAUUCCAGGUGUAGCGGUGAAAUGCGUAGAGAUCUGGAGGAAUACCGAUGGCGAAGGCAGCCAUCUGGCCUAAUACUGACGCUGAGGUACGAAAGCAUGGGGAGCAAACAGGAUUAGAUACCCGCGUAGUCCCUGUCUCUUAUAC
rnacentral:rRNA from 1 species